rnacentral:ncRNA from 2 species
GCAAUUUGCUAGGGGAGCCAUGAGCUGAGAAUCACACAGAUGUGUGUUGACCCUCAUUACUUGAACCGGUUAGUACCGGCGGAAGGAAGCAGUACCAAAGUGGU